UACGUAGGGGGCUAGCGUUUGUCCGGAAUCAUUGGGCGUAAAGCGCGCGUAGGCGGCCAGAUAAGUCCGGUGUGAAAGUCACAGGCUCAACCUGUGAAUGCCGCUGGAAACUGUCUGGCUAGAGUCCGGAAGGGGCGAGUGGAAUUCCUGGUGUAGCGGUGGAAUGCGCAGAUAUCAGGAGGAACACCAAUAGCGAAGGCAGCUCGCUGGGACGGUACUGACGCUAAGGCGCGAAAGCGUGGGGAGCGAACAGG
rnacentral:rRNA from 1 species